UACGAAGGGGGCUAGCGUUGUUCGGAAUUACUGGGCGUAAAGCGCACGUAGGCGGAUCGAUCAGUCAGGGGUGAAAUCCCAGAGCUCAACUCUGGAACUGCCUUUGAUACUGUCGAUCUAGAGUAUGGAAGAGGUGAGUGGAAUUCCGAGUGUAGAGGUGAAAUUCGUAGAUAUUCGGAGGAACACCAGUGGCGAAGGCGGCUCACUGGUCCAUUACUGACGCUGAGGUGCGAAAGCGUGGGGGAGCAAACAGGAUUAGAAACCCUGGAUACG
rnacentral:rRNA from 1 species